rnacentral:tRNA from 1 species
GCCGGUAUAUGUUAAAGGCUAAACGAUCUGCCUUCCAAGCAGAAGAUAAGGGUUCGAUUCCCUUUACCGGU